UGGUGGAGUGAUUUGUCUGGUUAAUUCCGAUAACGAACGAGACCUUAACCUACUAACUAGACCAAUAGACCACGGUCUAUUGGAGCUUCUUAGAGGGACUGUGUGGUACAACCUCAAGGAAGUUUAAGGCAAUAACA
rnacentral:rRNA from 1 species